rnacentral:rRNA from 1 species
UACGGAGGGUGCAAGCGUUGUCCGGAUUUAUUGGGUUUAAAGGGUGCGUAGGCGGCCACGUAAGUCUGGGGUGAAAGCCCGUUGCUCAACAACGGAACUGCCCUGGAAACUGCGCGGCUUGAGUACAGACGAGGUUGGCGGAAUGGAUGCUGUAGCGGUGAAAUGCAUAGAUAGCAUCCAGAACCCCGAUUGCGAAGGCAGCUGACUAGGCUGUAACUGACGCUGAGGCACGAAAGCGUGGGGAGCAAACAGG